rnacentral:rRNA from 1 species
AAAUUGAAGAGUUUGAUCAUGGCUCAGAUUGAACGCUGGCGGCAGGCCUAACACAUGCAAGUCGAGCGGCAGCGACAACAUUGAACCUUCGGGGGAUUUGUUGGGCGGCGAGCGGCGGACGGGUGAGUAAUGUCUAGGAAAUUGCCCUGAUGUGGGGGAUAACCAUUGGAAACGAUGGCUAAUACCGCAUGAUGCCUACGGGCCAAAGAGGGGGACCUUCGGGCCUCUCGCGUCAGGAUAUGCCUAGGUGGGAUUAGCUAGUUGGUGAGGUAAGGGCUCACCAAGGCGACGAUCCCUAGCUGGUCUGAGAGGAUGAUCAGCCACACUGGAACUGAGACACGGUCCAGACUCCUACGGGAGGCAGCAGUGGGGAAUAUUGCACAAUGGGCGCAAGCCUGAUGCAGCCAUGCCGCGUGUGUGAAGAAGGCCUUCGGGUUGUAAAGCACUUUCAGUCGUGAGGAAGGUAGUGUAGUUAAUAGCUGCAUUAUUUGACGUUAGCGACAGAAGAAGCACCGGCUAACUCCGUGCCAGCAGCCGCGGUAAUACGGAGGGUGCGAGCGUUAAUCGGAAUUACUGGGCGUAAAGCGCAUGCAGGUGGUUUGUUAAGUCAGAUGUGAAAGCCCGGGGCUCAACCUCGGAAUUGCAUUUGAAACUGGCAGACUAGAGUACUGUAGAGGGGGGUAGAAUUUCAGGUGUAGCGGUGAAAUGCGUAGAGAUCUGAAGGAAUACCGGUGGCGAAGGCGGCCCCCUGGACAGAUACUGACACUCAGAUGCGAAAGCGUGGGGAGCAAACAGGAUUAGAUACCCUGGUAGUCCACGCCGUAAACGAUGUCUACUUGGAGGUUGUGGCCUUGAGCCGUGGCUUUCGGAGCUAACGCGUUAAGUAGACCGCCUGGGGAGUACGGUCGCAAGAUUAAAACUCAAAUGAAUUGACGGGGGCCCGCACAAGCGGUGGAGCAUGUGGUUUAAUUCGAUGCAACGCGAAGAACCUUACCUACUCUUGACAUCCAGAGAACUUUCCAGAGAUGGAUUGGUGCCUUCGGGAACUCUGAGACAGGUGCUGCAUGGCUGUCGUCAGCUCGUGUUGUGAAAUGUUGGGUUAAGUCCCGCAACGAGCGCAACCCUUAUCCUUGUUUGCCAGCGAGUAAUGUCGGGAACUCCAGGGAGACUGCCGGUGAUAAACCGGAGGAAGGUGGGGACGACGUCAAGUCAUCAUGGCCCUUACGAGUAGGGCUACACACGUGCUACAAUGGCGCAUACAGAGGGCGGCCAACUUGCGAAAGUGAGCGAAUCCCAAAAAGUGCGUCGUAGUCCGGAUUGGAGUCUGCAACUCGACUCCAUGAAGUCGGAAUCGCUAGUAAUCGUGGAUCAGAAUGCCACGGUGAAUACGUUCCCGGGCCUUGUACACACCGCCCGUCACACCAUGGGAGUGGGCUGCAAAAGAAGUAGGUAGUUUAACCUUCGGGGGGACGCUUACCACUUUGUGGUUCAUGACUGGGGUGAAGUCGUAACAAGGUAGCGCUAGGGGAACCUGGCGCUGGAUCACCUCCUUAUACGAUGAU